rfam:Firmicutes bacterium CAG:41 genomic scaffold, scf149
AUAAUGAUACUUCGGUAAUUCGCCGCUCGGUCACAAUGAAGACGGAGUAUAUCUUAAGAUAUAAUGU